CAUUAAGAAGCUAUGGAACAGCGCUAGCCUUUUAAGCUGGAGAAAGAGGGCCCUACCCCUCCUUAAUGG
rnacentral:tRNA from 1 species